UAUCUCGGCUCUCGCAUCGAUGAAGAACGUAGCGAAAUGCGAUACUUGGUGUGAAUUGCAGAAUCCCGUGAACCAUCGAGUUUUUGAACGCAAGUUGCGCCCAAAGCCAUUAGGCUAAGGGCACGUCUGCCUGGGCGUCACGCAUCACGUCGCCCCAACCC
rnacentral:rRNA from 1 species